AGAUUGAACGCUGGCGGCGUGCCUAACACAUGCAAGUCGAGCGGUAACAGGUGUAGCAAUACAUGCUGACGAGCGGCGAACGGGUGAGUAAUGCUUUGGAAUCUUCCCAGUAGUGGGGAACAACCAGUCGAAAGAUUGGCUAAUACCGCAUACGUCUGUGAAGAGAAAGCGGGGGCUCGUAAGACCUCGCGCUAUUGGAUGAGCCAAAGUCGGAUUAGCUAGUUGGUGGGGUAAUGGCCUACCAAGGCGACAAUCCGUAGCUGGUCUGAGAGGACGACCAGCCACACCGGAACUGAGACACGGUCCGGACUCCUACGGGAGGCAGCAGUGGGGAAUAUUGGACAAUGGGCGCAAGCCUGAUCCAGCCAUGCCGCGUGAGUGAUGACGGCCUUAGGGUUGUAAAGCUCUUUCGCUAGGGACGAUAAUGACGGUACCUAGACAAGAAGCCCCGGCUAACUUCGUGCCAGCAGCCGCGGUAA
rnacentral:rRNA from 1 species